AACGGUCUAUACCUGCGGUACCUGCGGAAGGAUCAUUACAUGAUUUGAGGGGGCUCACGUCCCCUCAUCCAACCCACAAACCCCGAGGAACUUUUAUGUCGAGUGGUUCGGCGCUCUCUUUGAGAGCCGCCCCUCAAACGCAUCGCAGGCUUUUCGUGAAGGUCUGAUGUGUCACAUCGUGAGUAUUAAAACUUUUAGCAACGGAUCUCU
rnacentral:misc_RNA from 1 species